AACGAACGCUGGCGGCAUGCCUAACACAUGCAAGUCGAACGAGACCUUCGGGUCUAGUGGCGCACGGGUGCGUAACGCGUGGGAACCUGCCCUUAGGUUCGGAAUACCUCCCCGACAGGGGUGCUAAUACCGGAUAAUGUCUUCGGACCAAAGAUUUAUCGCCUUUGGAUGGGCCCGCGUUGGAUUAGCUAGUUGGUAGGGUAAAAGCCUACCAAGGCGACGAUCCAUAGCUGGUCUGAGAGGAUGAUCAGCCACACUGGGACGGAGACACGGCCCAGAAUCCUACGGGAGGCAGCAGUGGGGAAUAUUGGACAAUGGGCGAAAGCCUGAUCCAGCAAUGCCGCGUGAGUGAUGAAGGCCGUAGGGUUGUAAAGCUCUUUUACCCGGGAUGAUAAUGACAGUACCGGGAGAAUAAGCACCGACUAACUCCGUG
rnacentral:rRNA from 1 species